AUUAAAUGAUGAAAAACCUACUUUUCAGUUCUGCUUCUGAACCAAAAAUUCCUGAAGAUAACCUUUACCAAGCUCAAUUUUCUGACAA
rnacentral:snoRNA from 1 species